rnacentral:rRNA from 1 species
CCUACGGGUGGCAGCAGUUAUGAAUCUUGUUCCCUUUACUCACGUCUUCCCCCUCCCUUCCUCUUUCCUGACGCCGGCUCUCUGCGUUGUAAACUGCUUUUGUACGAGGGUAAACGCAGAUACGCGUAUCUGUCUGAAAGUAUCGUACGAAUAAGGAUCGGCUAACUCCGUGCCAGCAGCCGCGGUAAUACGGAGGAUUCAAGCGUUAUCCGGAUUUAUUGGGUUUAAAGGGUGCGUAGGCGGUCGGAUAAGUUAGAGGUGAAAUCCCGAGGCUCAACUUCGGAAUUGCCUCUGAUACUGUUCGGCUAGAGAGCAGUUGCGGUAGGCGGAAUGUAUGGUGUAGCGGUGAAAUGCUUAGAGAUCAUACAGAACACCGAUUGCGAAGGCAGCUUACCAAGCUACUUCUGACGUUGAGGCACGAAAGCGUGGGGAGCAAACAGGAUUAGAUACCCCUGUAGUC